rnacentral:lncRNA from 1 species
UGGUUGGCAUUUGCAAAAAGGAAAUUUAUGAAUGUAAUCACUCCUUCUUGAAUCAUAGAUUAGCUGUCAAAAAAGCACUUCAACACUAUUGAUCUACCAAUAAAAAAAUAUGAUGAUUCUUGAGGGCAUGUUGCUUGUCUGUUUUGAAUAUUUUAUUUCGAAAAUUCUCAACUACUAGCUAGGUAUAGAAAGAAUUCAUGAUGGUAAUCGUUUUCACGUCUACUUUGCUUCACAUGCUGAAGUGAGUGAUCAACUGAUCAUGAUUGACCUAUGACCCCAACCUUUUGCUUGUGCCUUAUGUUUAGUUGUUGUAUUGAUCAUGAAGUUAUUGCAAAAUGGCAUCAUUUACACUACGGAUUCAUCGUAUCAUAGUAUUCUACAGAUUCUGCUUCAAAAAAAACAAGUAUUCCAUAGAUUCAUCGUAUCUUCAGACUUCAGUAUUUGACUUGUACAAAAGUGUACUUUCGGGAGAAUCAUAUUUUUUUUAAGAUGAGACUUAUGUUGCCUUUUAAAGAAUUAUGGAUAAUUUUGUCAACACCAAUAAAAGUUAGUCACAUGUAGCUUACAAGCAUAUGAAGUAGAAGUAUUUUUAUUAUUUUAUUAUAAAAAAAAAAAGUAGGAGUAUUUUUUACCCACAAGAUAAUUUUUACUCCACUAAAUUUAUUCAUGUAGCUGAUUUUUAUUGGAUGUUGAGUAAAUGACUUACAAUUUUACAAAGGACAACAUAAACAAAAAAAAAACUUUUUUAAGUAUAUGUAUACUUACUUUUACUUUGUUUGUCAAAAAAAAAAAAGAAAAACUUUUAUUUUGACAUAGUAUAGUACUUUUUAACCGAGUGUGACACUGCAAAAAGUUAUCUUAUCUCUUUUGACUAGAAAGUAAAGUACUACUAGUAAAUAAAGAUUCUAGCCCUAAAGGGAUAAAAAAUUAUUCUCGUAUGGCGAAGAUACCAAAUUUAAAUUUCUUGGUCACACAACAUCUUUACUUUUGCAUUUUUUUUUAAAUAAUAAUUUUACAAAUAAUCAAAAAAGUAAUUCAAUAUUUUACUUUCAUGUGAGUGUGACCAAAAAUAUAUGUUGAUCGAGAUACCACACAAGAAUAUCUCAUGGAUACAAGAUCCAUAGGCCAAAUUUAGAAAUCAAAUCAAAAUACAUUUGAUAUCGUAAAACAAUUGUUCUAAAAUGAGCGUCAAUUUUUAAUUUUUAAGUUGUACAAUCAAACUUUUUUUUUUUGACAAAUGUUGUACAAUCAAAUUAUUAAUGUGUGAAUCACUCUCAAUACAAAAUAAAAAAUGUGUGAAUCACUCACAAAUUCAUAAAAUUAAUUUAUUUUUGACUAAAAUAUAUUUCAUUUAUUAAAAUUGUUAUUCUCUUUCUUUUACCUAUAGUAUUUCCUUAUUGCGUGUUUGGUUUUUUCACAUGACACACGACAUGGACGUGCGAAUGAUUAAAAUCUCCAAUUUAUUGGCUUCACAAAGUCCUAGAGACCAAAACAAAUCGUUAGUUGGUUCAGUGAUGAUUGAUGUUGGACUCGAUAGGGAGAACCAUAGUUCGAUCCCCUGAAGUCAUAACUGACUCCCGAAACAGAUUAAACAGUCCAAUGAGUGCAUACUGGUGGUGAAAACAAAAACAAAAAAAAUCGUAAAGACCAUGACGAGAUAAUAACAAUGCCAACACUCUUCUAAACUAUGAAUUAGUUUACAUAAAAUAAAAUCACAAUCAAUAAAUUUAGAAAACAAUGUAUUAAUGCUUUUUUAUUUACAUUAUAUUUAUAAAAAAAAAAAAAGAAGAGAGGCGUGGAAGUGGAAGUAAAUAAAUAGGGGGUGAGAAAAGCAAUAAAGCAAGUCCAAAUUGGUUCCGAAAAACCCUAAAACGGUGGAGUUUGAGUUGAGUUGAGUUUAGUUUCAUCAGGGUUUACUCUUUCUCUCACUCUAAAAAUCAAAAUUAAUUUGCACAUAUCAUGUAUAUAAUAACUACAUUUUUACUCAAAUAAUUGCACAUCUCGAUUUUAUAGAAUGUAAUAAUUAAUUUGCAUUGAUGUAUAUUCCUUUUUGGUCAACCUAGUGGCUAAAAAUUCCACUGAAUAAGUAAUCUCUCUUAAUGUCUUAGGUAAUCUCUCUAUAAAUACAGAGACUUAUCGAUUCUCAGAAUAUAAUUCAAAUUCAUUUCAUUAUACUCUCUAAUCUAUACGGUCAUAAUUUAUACAAUAUGAAUACUACAAGGAAUAUUGCUAUCACAAUGAUAUUCUUAUUAUCUUUCUUUAUCUUUACAUCAGGUUUGAAACUAAUAAGUUAAUUUACACUUCAAUUUUUUAUUUUUUUUUACAAUAACAUUAAUUUUAUAUAUUUGUAUUGUUUGAAUAUGUAGAUAUGUGCAUGGCAAUAGAAGGAAGAGGACUUACCGAAAAGUUCCCAUGUAAACAGGAUGGAGACUGUCAUUGUAAUGGUGGAGAGAGUGGAAGAUGUCUUGGUGGACAGUGUUGGUGUUUUUCACCACCAUCUUCUACUAAGAAACAUACCUAGCUACUUUAAUACACUAUAUUACGACUUGACUAUUCAAUAUUGUUAUGCAAUAAUUUCCUUUCUGAAUAAAAAUUAACACGGAGUAUUCUACUAUUAUUAUCAUAGUUUUAAUUUUUUUCUUCUUCUUUUUUUAUUUGCAGAAACAUAAGUAUUAAUGUUUAAGAUAUUUAUCAAGACUUACCAAAAAAAAAUAAGUAUUAAUGUUUGUCUACUUUUCUAUUAUUCUCAUUUGAAUAUAUAUUUUAAUGCAAUCAAUUAUAAAAUAUUUGAUAUAUACCACCAAUUUUUAAAUAAUUAUGACUCGAUUCAUUUUUUAUCCUUUGACCAAUUUUCCCUUAUAUUUUGGGACAGAUGGAUUAUAUACCAAAAAUAAUUAUAACUCGGUAUAAGAAAAUAGAUAAUCCUUCCGAACACUUUUAUAAGCAAAAAACACUUUUUAGAUUCAUUGAAAAAAUAAUGUAUCCAGUCUAUACUAUUAACUAGAUACAUUAUUUUUUCAAUAAACCUAAAAAAUAUAUUUUUUCUUAUAAUUAUGUGCGGGCAAUAAUAAAACAGAAAGACACGUUAGUGAAUGUCUAUCCGCAUCCGGUAGUACUAAUAUAAUUAUUAGUAUACUUAAAAAAAAAAAACUUUUUUAAGUAUAUGUAUACUUCCUUGAACCUUUUACUUUGUCCGUCAAAAAAAAAACUUUUAUUUUGACAUAGUAUAACCGAGUGUGACAAUGCAAAAAGUUAUCUUACCACUAAAAAGUAAAGUACUACUAGUAAAUAAAGAUUCUGGCCCUAAAGGGAUACAAAAUUAUUCUUGUAUGGUGAAGAGACCAAAUUUAAAUUUCUUGGUCACACAACAUCUUUACUUUUGCAUUUUUUUUUAAUAAUAAUUUUACAAAUAAUCAAAAAAGUAAUUUAAUAUUUUACUUUCAUGUAAGUGUGACAAAAAAUAUAUGUUGAUCGAGAUAUCACACAAGAAUAUCUCAUGGAUACAAGAUCCAUAGGCCAAAUUUAGAAAUAAAAUCAAAAUACAUUUGAUAUUGUAAAACAAUUGUUCUAAAAUGAGCGUAAUUAUUAAGUUGUACAAUAAUUUAUUUAUUUUUUUGACAAAUGUUGUACAAUCAAAUUAUUAAUGUGUGAAUCACUCUCAAUACAAAAAAAGAAAGAAAGUGGGAAUCACUCACAAAUUCAUAAAAUUAAUUUAUUUUUGACUAAAAUAUAAUUCAUUUAUUAAAAUUGUUAUUCUCUUUCUUUUACCUAUAGUAUUUCCUUAUAGUGUGUUUGGGUUUUUCACAUGAUAUGGCGUGGACAUGUGAAUGAUUAAAAUCUCCAAAUUAUUUGCUUCACAAAGUCCUAGAGACCAUAACAAAUCGUUAGUUGGUUCAGUGGUGAUUGAUGUUGGACUUGAUAAGGAGAACCAUAGUUCAAUCCCCUAAAAACAGAACUGACUCCUGAAACAGAUUAAACAGUUCAGUGAACUGCAUACUAAUGGUGAAAAUAAAAACAAAAAAAAUCGUAAAGACCAUGACGUGAUAAUAACAAUGCCAACACUCUUCUAAACUAUGAAUUAGUUUACAUAAAAUAAAAUCACAAUCAAUAAAUUUAAAAAACAAUGUAUUAAUGUUUUUUUAUUUACAUUAUAUUUAUAAAAAAAAAAGAAAAAAAGAGAGAGNNNNNNNNNNNNNNNNNNNNNGGCGUGGAAGUGGAAGUAAAUAAAUUGGGGGUGAGAAAAGCAAUAAAGCAAGUCCAAAUUGGUUCCGAAAAACCCUAAAACGGUGGAGUUUGAGUUGAGUUGAGUCGAGUUUCAUCAGGGUUUACUCUCUCUCUCUCUCUCUCUCUCUCUCUCUCUCUCUCUCUUUCUCUCACUCUAAAAAUCUAAUCAACAAUUCAAUACCUAUUGUUGACUCCUCUUUCUCUCUCUCUCUCUCUCGGCAAUGGCACUAGCAACGGAAUCUCACCUCCCAAUUCUCUCCUUCGUUGAUCUUCCCUCUCUCCUCCAAGCCGUGGCCGUCGACACUCUUGUUGCUGCCGCUCAAUCUCUCGCUCUCGUAUUUCUCUCACUCUUUUUCAUGUUUCGCUUAAAUUCUACCGUUUUUUUUUUGCUUUACUGUGCAUAUUAUUCAGUUAAUUCAGUAAACUAUUGUCGAAAUUAGGGUUUAUUGAUUUGCUUGCUUGCUACUCUCUGUAUUUUGUUUUGUUUUCUGUUAACUGUGAAGUUUCUUUACAAUUGUGUUUCAUGUAAUGUAAUGUAAUGUAACUAUAUUGAAUGUGACUCAAAUUGUUUGUUUCUCUUUUAGUCACAACAAAGUAUGAAGUAAUUUAGGUUAAAAAAUAAGUAAAUUAGGAUUAAUGAUGCGAUGGAUUGCUAUAGUGUAAUUUGCCUGGUCUGUGAAACACAAAUACAACAGACACUUACAAGUCGACACCUAUAAUAAUUUAAGAAAAUUACAUAAUUCAAUGUAAUCAUAAGUGUCGCUGUCAGGGUGUCGGACACCGACGAAUGAGAAGUGCCUGUGCUUCAUUUGCCCUGUGUGUUGUCUGUGGCUUGUGUCUAUGAAACACGGACACCGAUACAUCGGCACUAAUACUAAUUUAAUUUAAGAAAAUUACAUAAAUCAUAAGUGUCAGUGUCGGAUACACUCGAUGUCCGAUUUCAGGAUACACGCCUAGUUCGAGGAGUUCCCGNNNNNNGUUUGCAUGCUUGAAUUUUGUCUCUGGCUUUUCAUUCGGAGCAUUCUAUGCGAUUAAAUUUUUUAAUUCAUUAAGAAGGAAAUGUAUUGUGCAAGAAGAUCAUGAGUUCUUCUAUGCUAUGAAAGAUCACGGGUUUUCCCUUGCCCGUUUUUGCGGAUUAUGAAAAUAGCCAUUNNNNNNNNNNNNNNNNNNNNNNNNNNNNNNNNNNNNNNNNNNNNNNNNNNNNNNNNNNNNNNNNNNNNNNNNNNNNNNNNNNNNNNNNNNNNNNNNNNNNNNNNNNNNNNNNNNNNNNNNNNNNNNNNNNNNNNNNNNNNNNNNNNNNNNNNNNNNNNNNNNNNNNNNNNNAUUGUGCAAGAAGAUCAUGAGUUCUUCUAUGCUAUGAAAGAUCACGAGUUUUCCCUUGCCCGUUGUUGCGGAUUAUGAAAAUAGCCAUUAUUAUGUUUGCUUUUUGUAUCUAUUAAUCACUAUCUUCUUUGAGGGUUUCGUCGUCUUUUUCGAAAACUAUAAUUUUUUUUUUUGCUUCUAUUGUUUCAUUUUUUAAUUUUUAAUAUGUGCAAAUAUUGAAACUUCUGUAUGAUAAGUGUGUUCAUCUGUAUGUCACGCUCACAGCCUCACAGGUUUAUUUGGCCUAAGAUAUCUAUUUCAUGAUGAGAUUAAACUAAAGUAUCCUUGGAAUUUGUAUGCUGUUGCAUUCAAUUUGGUAAAUAUUUGUAUUUACUUCUUUUUGUUUUCUACCCAGAUUGGAUAUCUGCUGACUAAUGUCCCUAGUUUGGUGUCUCCAAAUUUGACUGCUAUGGAUUCAAGGUAAGAACAAAAACAUGCGCCUCAGCACCUGAUUUAAAGGUAACACAGUUGUUGCUUAUUUUUAUCCUUGUUAAAUCCUUGUCAGGUUUCCUUUAGAACACCUUCUUGGGAAGAAACCUGCUUACUUAGAAAACAAGAGUGAUACGGAUGAUGACGAUGAGGAUGACGACGACGACGAUGAUGUACAAGAUGAGGAUGACGACGGAGACGAGGAAGACUAUUCAGGUGAUGAAGACGAUGAAGAAGGGGAUCCCGAGGAUGAUCCUGAGGCUAACGGUGCAGGAGGAAGUGAUGAUGGGGAUGAUGAGGAUGGCGAUGAGGAAGAUGAUGAAGAAGAUGGUGAUGAUGAAGAGGACGAAGAGGAGGAAGAGGAAGAUGAGGAGACUCCCCAGCCACCAACUAAGAAGAGGAAGUGAGAAUUGUAUUGUAUUAGUAGGAAAUUGGUUCCAUAUUAUGGUCUGCAUUUGAGUUGAGCUUAGUGAUUAGGACUGAUAAAUUAGCAACCUUAGUGAGUGAACUUGCUUCGCUUUAUUUAUAUGUCAAUUAUGGAAAUUGUUAUAUUAAUGUUUCUCUUUGUUUCUACUUUAAGUUCUGUCCAGUUAUUAUCGUCAGUGAGUGUCAUUUGAAAAAGUUAAUUGCUUUUACAAUCAAUCUUGGCAAGUUUUUCUAAUACUAUAUUAAUCUCUGGAUCAAGCUCCUCUAGUGAAGUGAGUAAUAUCAAAUCCUUGAUUUGUACACUUUCCAAACCACUCACUUUAAAUGAGCCAAAUCCUUAUUCUCUAUACUUAACAUAGAUGAAGCUCUUUAAUCUCCAGUUUUAGCUGUGAUAUUAAUCCUUUUGUUGGCUGUUUAUCCCCUUUUGGGAUCAAGGUAAAGGCUCUUUGUAUAUCUCUAAUCUAGGAACUACUAAUAUAGUAAAAGUUCUUGUCAAAAUUGAAAACAAAUAUGUCAUGAUCUUUGUCAUGACACCGCUGGCUAAUGUGUAUUCGUUUGUUGAGUCCUUAACCCUCUGAAGUUAGGAGCAUUUGUAUGCGUCUCUAUUCGACAUUAUCUCAUGGUAUUUAAGAUCUGUAAAUCCAGUACAAUUGAGAAGGAAGAGACAUUUCUCUUAAAAGAAGUAAGAUUUUAUAAACACGACUUUCCAUAUCUUAAACUUUAUGACAAACCUGAUCAUAU